GGGGCCGUAGUCUAGCCUGGACUAGGACGCCAGGCUUGGGCCCUGGUGAUCGCGGGUUCAAAUCCCGCCGGCCCCA
rfam:Sulfolobus solfataricus P2, complete genome.